rnacentral:pre_miRNA from 1 species
AAAUCAGCAAUAGGGCUUCUCUUUCUUGGCAGGAAAUUAUCAUUCCAUGGUGUAUCUUGCCAAAGGAGAGUUGCCCUGUUGUUGCUUU